rnacentral:rRNA from 1 species
CCUACGGGUGGCAGCAGUGAGGAAUAUUGGUCAAUGGACGAGAGUCUGAACCAGCCAAGUAGCGUGAAGGAUGACUGCCCUAUGGGUUGUAAACUUCUUUUAUAAGGGAAUAAAACGAGGCACGUGUGCCUUUUUGCAUGUACUUUAUGAAUAAGGAUCGGCUAACUCCGUGCCAGCAGCCGCGUUAAUACGGAGGAUCCGAGCGUUAUCCGGAUUUAUUGGGUUUAAAGGGAGCGUAGAUGGGUUGUUAAGUCAGUUGUGAAAGGUUGGGGCUCAACCGUAAAAUUGCAAUUGAUACUGGCAGUCUUGAGUACAGUUGAGGUAGGCGGAAUUCGUGGUGUAGCGGUGAAAUGCUUAGAUAUCACGAAGAACCCCGAUUGCGAAGGCAGCUUACUAAACUGUGACUGACAUUGAUGCUCGAAAGUGUGGGUAUCAAACAGGAUUAGAUACCCCUGUAGUC